AAAAUUUAUAAAAAUUACCAUUUAAGGAGGCUCGCGGGUAUAAGAUUUUCAGAAAAAAAUUAAACAUUGAUUUUUCAUUACAAAUUUUAUUUAUUACCUUUAGUAGUUGUUACUUUAUCAUAUGGUACAAAAAUCAUUCCAAAAAAUCAAUUCGUGUUGGCCCCAGAUGACUUUUAAAAUGUUGAUAUCAUUGAAAAAGCGCCAAAUUAUCUCCCUUUGGUGCAAAAAUGCAAUUUUUUUGGCAUUAAAAUUGAAAUAUCUUUUUUAACUCAUCGGUGACCUAUAUUUUUU
rnacentral:lncRNA from 1 species